rnacentral:rRNA from 1 species
UACGUAGGGUGCAAGCGUUAAUCGGAAUUACUGGGCGUAAAGCGUGCGCAGACGGUUGCGUAAGUCAGAUGUGAAAGCCCCGGGCUCAACCUGGGGAAUUGCAUUUGAGACUGCGUAGCUAGGGUGCGGAAGAGGGAUGCAGAAUUCCAGGUGUAGCGGUGAAAUGCGUAGAUAUCUGGAGGAAUACCGGUGGCGAAGGCGGCAUCCUGGACCGACAUUGACGCUGAGGAGCGAAAGCUAGGGGAGCAAACGGG